GACGCCGCUCUCUGCCCCCCCACAGUACAGCAACUCGGCGGGGAUCAACUAUGAGACGCUGGGCCCCGAGGAGCUGCGGACGCUGCUCACCACACAAUGCGGGGUCAUCUCUGAGCACACCAAGAAGAUGUGCACCAGGUCCCUGCGGUGUCCCCAGCACACAGAUGAGCAGCGGAGAUCGGUCCGGGUUUACCUCCUCGGUCCCUCUGCGUAAGUGGGCACACACACGCGGGCUCCGAAAGGUCCUGGGCCCACUGUCCCGGGGUGGGGACAGGGACGGGGCUCUGCCACCCGGUGCAAGUGGAGACUGGGGAGGGGCUGCACGGGGUGCCCAGGUCCUGAGCAAGGGU